GCCCCUGUGGCGGAAUCGGUAGACGCGGCGGACUCAAAAUCCGUUGCCAGUGAUGGCGUGCCAGUUCGAGUCUGGCCGGGGGCACCA
rnacentral:tRNA from 3 species